GAUGAACGCUGGCGGCGUGCCUAAUACAUGCCAGUCGAGCGAACAGACGAGGAGCUUGCUCCUCUGACGUUAGCGGCGGACGGGUGAGUAACACGUGGAUAACCUACCUAUAAGACUGGGAUAACUUCGGGAAACCGGAGCUAAUACCGGAUAAUAUAUUGAACCGCAUGGUUCAAUAGUGAAAGACGGUUUUGCUGUCACUUAUAGAUGGAUCCGCGCCGCAUUAGCUAGUUGGUAAGGUAACGGCUUACCAAGGCGACGAUGCGUAGCCGACCUGAGAGGGUGAUCGGCCACACUGGAACUGAGACACGGUCCAGACUCCUACGGGAGGCAGCAGGAGGGAAUCUUCCGCAAUGGGCGAAAGCCUGACGGAGCAACGCCGCGUGAGUGAUGAAGGUCUUCGGAUCGUAAAACUCUGUUAUUAGGGAAGAACAAAUGUGUAAGUAACUAUGCACGUCUUGACGGUACCUAAGCAGAAAGCCACGGCUAACUACGU
rnacentral:rRNA from 1 species